UUGAGAUGUCUCUGAAGAUCGCAUCCAUCAUGCUCAUCCUGGCCAGCAUGCUGUCCACUGGAGAUUUUCUACAAUGUUACGGCUUUAAAGGGAAAACUUAUGGAAUAAUCAACUGCCCUGCAAAUUCUGAUCGUUGUGUGAAAAAUGUUGUUGCCUGUUGUGGUAAAGAUGUGACCACUUAUGGCUGUACCUCUCACAAUGACAAAGACUGAAAUGAAUCAACUUGCUGUAUGGGGGAUUUGUGUAACGGUGCUGGCACCAUCAGGAAAAACCUCUUCUUCCUGCUGAUGCCGUUGACCUCCAUCUUUCUGCUCUCCUGAGCUGUCUGUGAGUCCAUCCUCCUCAGGAGCAGCUUCCACUGCAGUGCUGUAUUCACUUCCUCUAUGUACUGUCUCUCUAUGGAUGUUCAGGCAGUACAGAUACCGUCCAUUUGUCCUGGUCUGUCCUGCCAUUUGUGACUGGAUGUCAACAAUGUCAACAUUUUGUUUUCAUUCUUUGCAUUUCUCCAUGUCAUAUUAUGUGUAGUUACAUCAAUUGGAUGUUUUUUAUAUGUGUGUUUAUUUUUUAUUAAAUCUUUUACAAAUGUAA